rnacentral:rRNA from 1 species
CCGGCGAACGGGUGCGUAACGCGUAUGCAACCUACCUUUUACUAGAGAAUAGCCAAGAGAAAUUUUGAUUAAUGCUCUAUACACUUUAAGACUCACAUGAGUCUAAAAGAAAAGCUCCGGCGGUAAAAGAUGGGCAUGCGUUCUAUUAGCUUGUAGGUGAGGUAACGGCUCACCUAAGCUUCGAUAGAUAGGGGUCCUGAGAGGGAGACCCCCCACACUGGUACUGAGACACGGACCAGACUUCUACGGAAGGCAGCAGUAAGGAAUAUUGGACAAUGGAGGCAACUCUGAUCCAGCCAUGCCGCGUGAAGGAAGAAGGCCCUAUGGGUCGUAAACUUCUUUUAUACAGGAAGAAAUCUUUCCACGUGUGGAAAGUUGACGGUACUGUAAGAAUAAGGAUCGGCUAACUCCGUGCCAGCAGCCGCGGUAAUACGGAGGAUCCAAGCGUUAUCCGGAAUUAUUGGGUUUAAAGGGUCCGCAGGCUGUUUGUUAAGUUAGAGGUGAAAUCCUACCGCUCAACGGUAGAACUGCCUUUAAAACUGGCAAACUUGAGUUAUUGUGAAGUAAUUAGAAUGUGUAGUGUAGCGGUGAAAUGCAUAGAUAUUACACAGAAUACCGAUUGCGAAAGCAGAUUACUAACAAUUAACUGACGCUGAGGGACGAAAGCGUGGGUAGCGAACAGGAUUAGAUACCCUGGUAGUCCACGCCGUAAACGAUGGUCACUAGCUGUUUGAUGUACAUUGGUACAUUGAGUGGCUAAGCGAAAGUGAUAAUGACCCACCUGGGA